GGAUGUUGUUGCCGGCAUGUUUAAGUGGCCAUUAUUAAUACAGUAUUUAGCAACUGGCGUAACAGUUGCUUUAAUUCUAAUUUCGGAAUUAAUUCAAUUUAAUCUACCAGUAAUUCCCAUUCUUCUUGUCCAUACAAUUGGAACGUGCUUAUGUGGCUUAUUCGCUGAAGAAAUGUUGCAAUUGAGCGAAGAAUUCCGAAAUGCAACUUUCUAUGGGGUAACGUGGGAUGGUGAUGUGGAAAGCGCCAAAUUUCUGAUGUUUAUGAAUAUUAAUAUGCAUAAUUCAUUUAAACUUGCUAUUGCGGGCAAUGGAAUUUAUACAAAUGAAAAAGUCCUUUUGAUUUUCAAAAUGGCGUAUACAAUUGUAAUGUAUUAUGUUAAUAUCACUGGUGAAGGCAAUCCUAAAUAUUGAUAAACGGAUAAUUAUGAUUAAGCGUCAACCUGGAUCAUUAGUCCAGAAAAUUUUGCCAACACUCAUCAAUGCGAUUUCUUAUAACUAGAUAUGCAAACACUAAACACUAUAAAAUAGUUUUAAGCACGCGAGUGGAGAGGUUGUAUUGUUCAACAAUAAUAACGCUGUUAAGACAAUGAUCAACGCUUUAUGUCAGG